CCUACGGGGGGCUGCAGUGGGGAAUAUUGGACAAUGGGCGAAAGCCUGAUCCAGCCAUGCCGCGUGUGUGAAGAAGGCCUUCGGGUUGUAAAGCACUUUCAGUGGGGAAGAAAGCCUUGGGGCUAAUACCCUCGAGGAAGGACAUCACCCACAGAAGAAGUACCGGCUAACUCCGUGCCAGCAGCCGCGGUAAUACGGAGGGUGCGAGCGUUAAUCGGAAUUACUGGGCGUAAAGCGCGCGUAGGCGGUCUGAUAAGCCGGUUGUGAAAGCCCCGGGCUCAACCUGGGAACGGCAUCCGGAACUGUCAGGCUAGAGUGCAGGAGAGGAAGGUAGAAUUCCCGGUGUAGCGGUGAAAUGCGUAGAGAUCGGGAGGAAUACCAGUGGCGAAGGCGGCCUUCUGGACUGACACUGACGCUGAGGUGCGAAAGCGUGGGUAGCAAACAGGAUUAGAUACCCGAGUAGUC
rnacentral:rRNA from 1 species